CCUUCGGGCCUCUCGCGUCAGGAUAUGCCUAGGUGGGAUUAGCUAGUUGGUGAGGUAAGGGCUCACCAAGGCGACGAUCCCUAGCUGGUCUGAGAGGAUGAUCAGCCACACUGGAACUGAGACACGGUCCAGACUCCUACGGGAGGCAGCAGUGGGGAAUAUUGCACAAUGGGCGCAAGCCUGAUGCAGCCAUGCCGCGUGUGUGAAGAAGGCCUUCGGGUUGUAAAGCACUUUCAGUCGUGAGGAAGGU
rnacentral:rRNA from 1 species